UCCAGGGCCCUGUGCAUGCUAGGCAAAGAACUCUGUCUCUGAGCUACAACACCAGCCUUCUGUCCUCAUUUUUAGGAUUCAUUUUUGGAAUAAGAAAAGAAAACCCAUCUUUAGGAUUGUCCUUCUUGUGGUGUUAUUUGAUGAGGAUUAAACCAUUUCAGAGUGUUUGUGAUUGGGAGAUUCUGGAGAACAUGAAGUAUAUCACACCAAUCUUUUGUCUUUGGUGAGAGCAGAAUGACUGACAGGUGAAUUAACAAUGACAGAAAGAAGCUUUGGUGGAAGGAAGUAGGAUGUCUGCUCAACCAGAGGUGAAAUAGGUCAGAGGGAACAGAGCUGGAGCCCAUGACAACAUCUCAGCAGUGAAAGAGUACAAGAAAGAACCACACACUGUCAUUGAUCUACCAUAGACUCAUGGCAGAGGAAAUCAUUGCAAGGUUCAGCACAUUGCAAGGUUCAGCACAUUGCAAGGGAAGACGUGAGGGGCAUAGAGGUAUACCAGUGGACAUCAAGAUUGCACAGUGUGAUGACGUGAGGUGGGAAAAGCCAACCCAUUUGCCUAUUCUCCUCAAAAGAGGAAGACUAAAGCUAGAAUAUCUAGCCAUUCAAUAAAGAUUAAUUUUCUACAUUA